AGGGAGCUGUGCUGGGAUAUAUGAGAUAGGUGUCAGCUACAGUAGCGAGUGGAGAAAAUGCUGAAGACUGCAGUACCAAGCUGAGAGAGACCAGACAGUGAAACAGGACAGUGUGAGAAGCCAAGAGGGCCCAGAAGUGGAAGAGGUCACCGAGAGCACAGGAGAGACCAGCUCCCUGCUCUUAGUUCAGGAGUCCAGACCUGACUCUGGCCCAGCAGCCUACAUCAGUCCAGAACUGCAAUUGAAGGGAAAAUCCUACUCAGCUCUGGGCUGGGGCAUGCCCAGUGUGGAUGGAAUCUUUGAGGAACUUAGCUGGUCAAAUCUAAGAAAUCUCUC